rnacentral:lncRNA from 1 species
CAAACUAUAACUUUAUUUUAAAAAUGGUUCUUAAUAAGUGCAGUUUGAUAAAAUGGUGUUAAAACUUAUGGGUAAAGGGGAAGUAAAAAUAAUUGAAGUAUACCACUGUAAGAAAUACUUGAGGUCUGGCACCUGAGAGCAGACUGUGGGGGAAACUUCAUGUUAUGAUAGGAAAGAAUCCCCCACUUUCCCUUCACCCUCUCACCCACUUAACCUCACCAGAAACCACCAAGAUGCCCAGAAUAAAAGUUUUCAAGUUCAAUAGUCACACUAUUUCCAACUACAAAAAGCAGUUACAAUUCAACUGAACAAAGAAGCUAAUGUGCAAAGUUAAGGGGAUCUGAGACAUCAUAUAAAAAGUUAGGUUAAAGAUAAUUCUAUUUGUGUGUGUGUGUGUGUGUGUGUUUGUGUGUGUUUUGUUCCAAGGGUGUAGCUAUUCCUUGGCCACCUGAACUCAGCAAAGAAACUGUUAUUUUAAUGAAGUGUUAGU